CUGUGCUAGGUGGGGAGUUAGCGGUGCCCUGAACCUGCAAUCCGCUAUAGCAGGGCCGAAUUCCCACUCGCGAUCGAUUUCUGCUUCUCCGUUGCAGUUUCAAGCGGCGUCGACGAAUCAAGCCCCACGCAAUGGAAAUGUGCCCAACCCCGUCAGGCCCGGAAGGGAGCAGCGGCAAGCAUUCUUUCCAUGUGCCGCGGGUCUCCUUGAUUCCAGCCGAUUGCAGCGGCGCGGACAGGCAGCAAAUGACCAACGGUGGGUGCACAG
rnacentral:SRP_RNA from 1 species